rnacentral:lncRNA from 10 species
CAGAGGAGGUGAAAUGCCACAUUCUUCCAGGAGGCCCAUCUGUAUCCAGAUCCCCUGAAAGCUACUCAGAAACCUUCAAAGGACCAUCAGAACGCACUUUGAGAACCACUGUGAUGGAUAAGCCUUCAGAGGCGUUUCCCUGCGAUUCCCACUGCACUCUAAUCCACUGGCUUUCCGCACAAGGGCAGCUCCAACAAGGAACCCAACCAGAGUUGAGGGAAAUUCAAGUUUGGGCAGUUGACCAGAGGUGCUGACUGGGUCCACGGCAGCUGCAUUCUUCAGGACCUGCACUGGCCGUCAUCAUUCCAGGACACAAGAAAGACCCCGCCAGACUGUCCCCGAUGGAAGUUUGGCUGUGGUCACCAUGCAUUGCCUCCUAUAGAGCCUGCCUAUUUUCCAUGUCUGAUUCUUCAGCUCUUCUGGCAAUUCUGUAAAUUACCCAAAAUCCUUUCAAUAAAAUCUAUUUAUGAUUAA